rnacentral:rRNA from 1 species
GGUGCUUGCAUCAUGAUUUACAUUUGAGUGAGUGGCGAACUGGUGAGUAACACGUGGGAAACCUGCCCAGAAGCGGGGGAUAACACCUGGAAACAGAUGCUAAUACCGCAUAACAACUUGGACCGCAUGGUCCGAGCUUGAAAGAUGGCUUCGGCUAUCACUUUUGGAUGGUCCCGCGGCGUAUUAGCUAGAUGGUGGGGUAACGGCUCACCAUGGCAAUGAUACGUAGCCGACCUGAGAGGGUAAUCGGCCACAUUGGGACUGAGACACGGCCCAAACUCCUACGGGAGGCAGCAGUAGGGAAUCUUCCACAAUGGACGAAAGUCUGAUGGAGCAACGCCGCGUGAGUGAAGAAGGGUUUCGGCUCGUAAAACUCUGUUGUUAAAGAAGAACAUAUCUGAGAGUAACUGUUCAGGUAUUGACGGUAUUUAACCAGAAAGCCACGGCUAACUACGUGCCAGCAGCCGCGGUAAUACGUAGGUGGCAAGCGUUGUCCGGAUUUAUUGGGCGUAAAGCGAGCGCAGGCGGUUUUUUAAGUCUGAUGUGAAAGCCUUCGGCUCAACCGAAGAAGUGCAUCGGAAACUGGGAAACUUGAGUGCAGAAGAGGACAGUGGAACUCCAGGUGUAGCGGUGAAAUGCGUAGAUAUAUGGAAGAACACCGGUGGCGAAGGCGGCUGUCUGGUCUGUAACUGACGCUGAGGCUCGAAAGUAUGGGUAGCAAACAGGAUUAGAUACCCUGGUAGUCCAUACCGUAAACGAUGAAUGCUAAGUGGU